rnacentral:rRNA from 1 species
CCCACAUUUUCAUGGCAGUCGAACGGGUAACGCGGGGAGAAGCUUGCUUCUCUCCGGCGACGAGUGGCGAACGGGUGAGUAAUACAUCGGAACGUGUCCGCUCGUGGGGGACAACCAGCCGAAAGGUUGGCUAAUACCGCAUGAGUUCUACGGAAGAAAGAGGGGGACCCGCAAGGGCCUCUCGCGAGCGGAGCGGCCGAUGACUGAUUAGCCGGUUGGUGAGGUAACGGCUCACCAAAGCAACGAUCAGUAGCUGGUCUGAGAGGACGACCAGCCACACUGGGACUGAGACACGGCCCAGACUCCUACGGGAGGCAGCAGUGGGGAAUUUUGGACAAUGGGCGCAAGCCUGAUCCAGCUGUUCCGCGUGUGGGAUGAAGGCCCUCGGGUUGUAAACCACUUUUGUAGAGAACGAAAAGACACCUUCGAAUAAAGGGUGUUGCUGACGGUACUCUAAGAAUAAGCACCGGCUAACUACGUGCCAGCAGCCGCGGUAAUACGUAGGGUGCGAGCGUUAAUCGGAAUUACUGGGCGUAAAGGGUGCGCAGGCGGUUGAGUAAGACAGAUGUGAAAUCCCCGAGCUUAACUCGGGAAUGGCAUAUGUGACUGCUCGACUAGAGUGUGUCAGAGGGAGGUGGAAUUCCACGUGUANCAGUGAAAUGCGUAGAUAUGUGGAAGAACACCGAUGGCGAAGGCAGCCUCCUGGGACAUAACUGACGCUCAAGCACGAAAGCGUGGGGAGCAAACAGG